AACGCACUAUUUUAUUUUUUGGUUGUGGUUUUCUUUUCUCAAUUCGUUUUCACUUUUCUCAUACUCACAAUUCUCAACUGCAACAUCGAUCUGCACCGUGAAUAUCGUUCUUAUCGAGGUCAAUUGCAAGACCAAUUUCAGUAAUUGGUUAGUGAUUUGGGAAAUGUAAUUGGGUUGCCGCUACAAAGCGUGUAAAGGCGUGGUGGUGUGUGGUUUUGGAGUUUUGAGAUUGUGGAAAUGUGAGGUUUGAAGAUUGGAGUAGAAGAAGCUCUUUGAUGAGGAAUGUAAAUGAGAUAACCAACAUGAAUGUCCUUAUAUGUGGAUUAACUUGCAUGCAGUACAAGUUCUAUGUUGAUGGAAAAUGGGGAUAUGAUGAAUCUGAACAUCAUGUGACUAGUGAUUAUGGGAUUGUGAACACACUACAUCUGUCUACGGAUGACAUGGAUGUUGAUAAUGAUGUCUUUUCGGCAUGUGGUGAGUUAGAUAUACCAUAUGCUUGAAAUCAUGAUUACCAUGAUACUUUGGCCCUUCUUGUUGUCUUUUAUAUUUUGUUAUGAUUUUGAUGGAAGUUAGAAAUUUUAGUGAUAUCUAUAUGUCUCUAUGGGCUUGACUUGAGGAGUUGUUUGAACUUUAGUGUUCUUAAUACCUAACCAAGCUUUGCUCAUUUGAAACCUAUGAGCCUAUGAAGCAAGUUUUUAUUUGGCUAAGCAUUCUUUGUAGGUGGUGAGUUUUGAUUUUUUUUGAAGAGCCGUGUGUUUGGCUUGAGCACAGUCAAAAUAUCGCAUGCCUUGGGUUAUAGAUGAUGUCGAGGGGAGAUAUAUUUCAUUGCAACAAAGUAUUAGCUUGGUUGCAUAUCUUCAUGAGGAAUUUGUUAUCAUUUGAUUAGUAUUUGAGUGAAUAGAUUCGAACUUGUAUUAUGUAUAUGAUAUUGAACUUGGGUAUUAUUUUCC